UACAGAGGAUGCAAGCGUUAUCCGGAAUCACUGGGCAUAAAGCGUCUGUAGGUGGCUUAUCAAGUCUGCUGUUAAAGACUAGGGCUUAACGCUGGGAAAGCAGUGGAAACUAGUAAGCUUGAGUGUGGUAGGGGUAGAGGGAAUUCCUGGUGUAGCGGUGAAAUGCGUAGAUAUUAGGAAGAACACCAAUGGCGAAAGCACUCUACUGGGCCAUAACUGACACUGAGAGACGACAGCUAGGGGAGCAAAUGGG
rnacentral:rRNA from 1 species